ACGGGAGGCAGCAGUGGGGUAUAUUGGGCAAUGGGCGCAAGCCUGACCCAGCGACGCCGCGUGAGUGAAGAAGUAUUUCGGUAUGUAAAGCUCUAUCAGUAGGGAAGAUAAUGACGGUACCUAACUAAGAAGCACCGGCUAAAUACGUGCCAGCAGCCGCGGUAAUACGUAUGGUGCAAGCGUUACCCGGAUUUACUGGGUGUAAAGGGAGCGUAGGUGGUUUGGCAAGCCAGAAGUGAAAACCCGGGGCUCAACCCCGUGGAUUGCUUUUGGAACUGUUGGACUAGAGUGCAGGAGGGGUAAGUGGAAUUCCCAGUGUAGCGGUGAAAUGCGUAGAUAUUGGGAGGAACACCAGUGGCGAAGGCGGCUUACUGGACUGUAACUGACACUGAGGCUCGAAAGCGUGGGGAGCAAACAGGAUUAGAUACCCUGGUA
rnacentral:rRNA from 1 species